rnacentral:misc_RNA from 1 species
GAUGAAGAACGUAGUGAAAUGCGAUAAGUAGUGUGAAUUGCAGAAUUCAGUGAAUCAUCGAAUCUUUGAACGCACAUUGCGCCCCAUGGUAUUCCGUGGGGCAUGCCUGUUCGAGCGUCAUUUACCCCCUCAAGCUCCGCUUGGUGUUGGGCGUCUGUCCCGCUUCGCGCGCGGACUCGCCCCAAAGGUAUUGGCAGCGGUCGUACCAGCUUCUCGCGCAGCACAUUGCGCUUCUCGAGGCACCGGUGGGCCCGCGUCCAUCAAGCUCACCCCCCCAGUUUGACCUCGGAUCAGGUAGGGAUACCCGCUGAACUUAAGCAUAUCAAUAAGCGGAGGA